AUAAUUUAUGGUGAUGGAGUUCACCUUAAUCGCAAUUGCUAAUGACUCCUACAGACAA
rnacentral:ncRNA from 1 species